rnacentral:rRNA from 1 species
AGAGUUUGAUCCUGGCUCAGGACGAACGCUGGCGGCGCGCCUAACACAUGCAAGUCGAACGGGACUAUCUCGGAAGAAGUUUUCGGAUGGAUUUUGGGAUAGUUUAGUGGCGGACGGGUGAGUAACACGUGAGCAACCUGCCUUCGAGAGGGGAAUAACGGCUGGAAACGGUCGCUAAUACCGCAUAAUGUACGGAUGGGACAUCCUGUCUGUACCAAAGAUUUAUCGCUCGAAGAUGGGCUCGCGUCCGAUUAGGUAGUUGGUGAGGUAACGGCCCACCAAGCCGACGAUCGGUAGCCGGACUGAGAGGUUGAACGGCCACAUUGGGACUGAGACACGGCCCAGACUCCUACGGGAGGCAGCAGUGGGGGAUAUUGCACAAUGGGGGAAACCCUGAUGCAGCGACGCCGCGUGUGGGAAGACGGUCUUCUGGAUUGUAAACCACUGUCCCCAGGGACGAAAAUGACGGUACCUGGGGAGGAAGCUCCGGCUAACUACGUG